rnacentral:rRNA from 1 species
CCUACGGGAGGCAGCAGUGAGGAAUAUUGGUCAAUGGGCGAGAGCCUGAACCAGCCAAGUAGCGUGAAGGAUGACUGCCCUACGGGUUGUAAACUUCUUUUAUAAAGGAAUAAAGUGAGGCAGGUGGGCAUUUUGGUAUGAACUUUAUGAAUAAGGAUCGGCUAACUCCGUGCAAGCAGCCGCGGUAAUACGGAGGAUCCGAGCGUUAUCCGGAUUUAUUGGGUUUAAAGGGAGCGUAGAUGGGUUGUUAAGUCAGUUGUGAAAGUUUGCGGCUCAACCGUAAAAUUGCAAUUGAUACUGGCAGUCUUGAGUACAGUUGAGGUAGGCGGAAUUCGUGGUGUAGCGGUGAAAUGCUUAGAUAUCACGAAGAACUCCGAUUGCGAAGGCAGCUUACUAAACUGCCACUGACAUUGAUGCUCGAAAGUGUGGGUAUCAAACAGGAUUAGAUACCCGGGUAGUC